rnacentral:lncRNA from 1 species
UGCGGUGAAAACUUUAAUAAAAAGCCACCGUCACGUCAACUUAGCAUUCAACGCUUGAUGGUUGCUUCUUCCAAAUCCAAACCCAAAAACAACAACGAGCAGAGCACAGAGUUAUUCAGUGCUUGCGGUACCACACAAGACACAACUCCACUGGGGACCCCCUCGCCGUUACCCAUGGCCGUCCCCUCCAUAUUCACCACCGCUGUCAGCCUCGGAUCGUUUCCCGACGACUAACGUUUUCCGUCUAUUCCUAAAUCAUCGUUGUUAUUUUGGCGCCACGUGUCCUCGUUUCUGUUUCUUCUGUAGUUUUCGAACCAGCUCAAUUUUUUAUCUACUACCUCCGAAGCAAGCAGCUUCUUUGUUUCUUUCUAUUUUUUCCUUUAUAGUAAGUUAUUUAUCUAUUUGGUGUGAAAUAGAUAUAUG